UAAGAUAGUGCUACUGUUUGAACAGAACUACCUAUUAUAUACCUGUCCCUACCUUUCUAUGUUUCUAUCUACUACAGAAGUAGGAUUCUAAUUUGAGCCAGUUUGCUACAGCAGGAAAAUAAUUCUGCAGCAACAGGAAAUGUGAUUUAUUAUGUGGAUUAUAAUUAAUGGACAGUUUUGUAGGGGUUGAUAGAUUUUCGUAAGGGAAAAUCAAGUCUGAAAUUUCACAGUGGAAAUUACAAACUUCCGAAGCCUUUUAAAACCUCAAAUACACUAUAAGUGAAAAGUUCUCCUGCAACAGGGGGAUCAAAUAAAGAUCCUACAUCUGUACUACACCACUUCAUUUGCCACCGUUAGAGAACUUCUACUCCACAUACCUGUAUAUCAUAUUAUGUGGCUCAGUUGGUACAGUAGAGCAUGGCGCUUGCAAUGCCAGGGUUGUGGGUUUGAUUCCCACGGGGGACCAGCAUGGAGAAAACAAAUAAUGAAAUGUAGGAAUUCAUUAACUGUAAGUCGCUCUGGAUAAGAGUGUCUGCUAAGUGACUCAAAUGUAAAUAUUAUAUUCUUAAUUGUGUCACCACCAACAACAAGACUAGUUACUAUAUCUUCUACCAUCUUACUACAACACUUUGAUCACAGUCUAAAUAACUGUUGUUUAUGCUGUGCUUAAUUCUUGCUCUCUGAUUGGACAGUUUACUCAGAAGAAUAAUGAGAUGACCCAAGAGACCAAUGAGAUGUACAGAACCACAGGGAGGACCAUUGUCACCCAGAUGUCCUCGUCAGGAGAGGGAGGGUUCUCAGGAGGGGGAACAUUCCAGAGAAUGGGCGAGGCCAACGGAACUCUGAGAAGCCAGGGUGGGCGGGGCAUGUACCAGACUACAAGCAGGAACAAUACCAUGAGGAGUAACUCUUCGAGGUAUUCCCGUUCCUUCGGCUUGCUGUCAAACCAGCACAUCUCAGAGCACAUAGACCGGAAGCUGCAUAUGAUUGGAGACGAGGUGGACUACCAACCCUACGGGUAUGGCUACGAGGGGACAGGCAGCAAGUGCCAGUCACUGGACGAGCUGUCGCUAAACAAUCUAGAUGACAACCUGGAGUUCCUGGGGGACCUGGGGUCAAAGUUCAACACCUUGGGGGGCAUCUGUCGGCAGGACAUGCAGGAGAGGAACAUCAGGCUGUAGACACGCACACACAUGAACACAAACACAAACACACACAACUGGCUGGACUGGGACUGAGAUGGUUCUAACGUAACUGCUCUACAACACUGAUAGGGUGAGAGCCAUCAGCUGGAGAAGAGGACACACCAAACAUCGUCCAUUGAGAUUCUGGAUCAUGCUUUGCGUCAUAUACGACAGAGGGGAAAAAAUACCGACCAAAACCAAGCUGGAUUGGCUUUUACCCACACAAGGAGGGACUGGGAGAGACACUUUCGAUAUUUUGGAUGUCUGAAGACACAAUGAAUCACUGCACUGAAUAAACCACAUCAUGCUCGAAUGGAUUUAUGUUUUGACCGGGCCGGGGUGUGUUUGUAUGGUGAUUGUUUUGCAGUGGUGUAAAGUAAGUACUUGAGCAUAAAUACUUUAUAGUACUUUUUGACAACUUUUAUUUUUACUCCAAUACAUUACAAAAGAAAAUAACUCAUUACAUUUUGUACUCAUUACAUUUUGAAUGCUUGGCAGGACAGGAACAUUUUCCAAUUCACACAAUUGUCAAGAGAACAUCCCUGGUCAUCGAUAGGGUCUUUAAUCUGGCAACCUCACUAAACACAAAUGCUUUGUUUGUAAAUAAUGUCUGAGUGUUGGAGUGUACCCCUGGCUAUCCGUACAUUUUACUGGGUGACUUUCACGUUUACUUGAGUACUUUUUUAUUAAGGUAUCUUUACUUUUGCUCAAGUAUUACAAUUGGGUACUUUCCCACCACUGUUGUUUUGUUGUUUAAUGUGUUUUUUAUCAUCACGCUUCACAGUACUUUUCAGCAGCAGCUUAUCAUCUCUUGAUCUACGAGCUAAGCCAGAAUGGGAUAACUUCGAUGCCAACACUUGAAUGGAAACGUCAACAUCACCUCUGUGGGAGUUUUACUAUUGUGCGAAUGAUAAUUCAUAACCUCUCUCUGUUUAGGAUAAUGAUUUACACAUGUUGCUUUCAACUAAUUUCUUGACCUCGAUGGAGUAGAAUCCAACACGAUAUAUCUGGUAGUAUAGAAUUGGGACACAGCAGAUUCAGGAGAACAAUUGAUAGCUAUAUUGGAAUCAUCACCUAUCUGCAGAAAAGUGACAAUGCCUAACCAUGGCUAAUCUGAGAGCCUGGAACCAGUGUGUGCUCUGUCCUCACCAAACCUUUAAGAGCAAUCAAAGCUGUGCUGUUGUGUAUCCUAAACAUAACGUAAAGGUUCACUGUAUAAUACUAGACUUGGUUUCCUUCACUUUUGCGCACUGGUCUUUUUUUUCUUUUUGACUUGCUUCUCUUUUACUCCCUGCUAACGUCCACUAUGCCGCUUUUGUAUCAGUAGUCAAUAUAUCAAUGUUUUUGUUUAUAUUUCAAAUUUGAUUAAAGUAUGCGCGUCAUGGAAAUGUGUCUCCGUAUCUCUCAGCCAUACCUCACAACAAACACGAUUAUGAUCCUAAACGGUUUUCAAGGUUAGUCACACUAAACAUGACAUGAAAUCACUUCAAUGACAUGGAUUCCUUGGAACACCCCCUUGUGUUCUCCGUAAAACUGACGCACCCACUAUAACAAUUCAUGUGAAUAGGAGAAGGUCAUUUUUUUGUGUAGUCCUGGCACUAAUUUGCCCACUCUUUUGCAG
ensembl:lncRNA